CCUAAUUGAUCUUUAGCCAUUCUUAAACUAAAUCAAAGCCUUAGCCGCAGCAAUAUGGAAGAUAAAACGCCCUAAGGCUCUCCCCUCCAUCUUUCGCCGUUUCAAAUCCUAGAUUCCCCGUCCAAUCCGAUCGGAACAGAGUAGACGAGGAUUCCUACGGCGUGAUAUCACAAGUAAGAUCCUUCUCUUUUUCUUUUUGUAUAGCAAAUAGAAAGAAGCAAAGAAAAAUAAUAGAGAAACGCAGAAGAAAAAAAAAACAAAAAUGGUGAAUCACCUUCUCAAAACUCAAAAAACUUUGUUUUUGAUUCUUUCUAUUGAUAUUAUGUGAUCGUAUGCGUGGGUUUCCCCCUUCAAAUACAGAAAAAUGGCUUUUUAUAUAGCCUGAUCCAAAAGAAGAAAAAAAAUCAAAAUACAUCCUUUUUCUGUCCUCUUUGCUAUUUUUUCGUUUUUGUCUGCUGCUUUGUUCGUUUUGUUUGUUGCAGGAGUACAGAGCAGUGGACGUGGAGGCUCACGUGGAUUUGGUGCGGAGGCACUACACGUGCGCAGGCGCAACAAGUGCGAGGAGGAGGCCUGGCUCUGCUGCGGCGCUAGAGGUUCUAGGGUUCCCUGCUGCUGAUUCUCUCUGUUUUGGGCUGCGGGUAUUUGGGCUUGAUUUUGGGCUAGUAAUUUGGGUUUAGGUUUACUAUUUGGGUUAAGGACUGAAUUGGGCUUUGAGUCUGUAAAUGGACAUUUAUUUAUUUUUUUGGGAUUUUGGUUUGAUUUUAAUAUUUAUAAAAACUAGGCUGUUAAUUGUGGAUGUUUUAAUUUAAUUUAUUUUUUGGUAUUUAUUGGGCCGGGCAAAAUGGGUUAUUACAAUAUAUGUUUAUAUAUUUCUUUUUAUAAAUGCAUUAUAUUUUUUAUGAAUCUUAUAAUCUAUAUCUUCAUGUAAAUCCAUGUGUUUUUUUUCUUCAUAAUUUCAACAUACAUAUUAUAUACACAUUUUAUUUUUUAUUUUAUAAUUUUGUUUAUUUCUUUCACUCGUUUAUUUAUUUGUGCUUUCAUUUAUAUUCUAAAGGAUGUUUUUUUAUUUAUUUUUGUUCAUUUACUUGAUAUUUCGUAUGUCAUUGUUUUAUUAUUUAUAUUAUUUCUCUACAAUUGUUGUAUUUGUUAUUGCGACAUUUAUACAUACAUUCAAUAUAACAUCACAUCAUCUUUUUACUCGAAUUUAAAAAUAGAAAAUUUUCAAAAUAGAGAUAAUACUCGUAUUUAGGAUUUUCAAGGAAAUUGAGCCCUAAUGUAUUGGGUUCCAAUUUUUUUCGUAAAAUCUAACAAUCGAGAAUUUCUCUUUAAUCAAACAAAAUAAAGCUUAUCAUCAGGAAUUCAACAUAUUGUGUCCUAAUGUAUUGGAUGUGACGCAUUGAUUUCUCAAGAUAAAGAUUUUUCUAAAAAAUAAUAAAGGAAAUAUUCGAUGCUUAGAAUUUUGAGAAAUUGUGCCCUAAUGUAUUGGGCCGCGAUUUCUUUAUAAAUCUUAAACAAAUGAAUAUUCUUGUAAAUUUUAUUACACAAGUAUUUUGGACAAACUCAUUUUUGGAGAAGUAGAAUGUCGUGCUCUAACGCAUUGGGUGUGACAUUUUCUUUUUCCGAAAUAAGAAAAGUCUAAAUAAGUAACGCAUUUUUAAAGUUUCUACUAAGGAUCAUAUUUUUUUAACUCUCGAAAUUAAGACACUAAUUAAUCAACUAGGUACCAAUUUUUGGGCGUAACGAGGGUGCUAAUCCUUCCUCGUAUGUAACCGGCUCCCGGAUCCGUUUUUCUAAAACUCGUAGACAAAAGCCGUUUUUAGGUGAUCCAAUCACACCUCAAUAAAAGAUUGGUGGCGACUCCCAAUUUUUCAUUUUUUUAAAUCGACAAUUAAUUUUUGUUUUUUUAAAAUAAAAAUGGUUUCGACAGUAGAAGUAGACCUCAUAUAAAAAAUUUCUUAAUAUCUUUAUAUUUUAAAAAUUAUAAAAGAAUUCUUUUAAUUUUAAAAUUUUCUAAUAUAAUUAUUUUUAUUCAUAUACCUCUAAUAUGAUAUUUCUUAUUUUAGUGUGCAAGGCAAUGAGGAGAUAGUAAUCGAAGAGAUAAUGAGAAUUGGAGGGCAACAAUAGGGAGCUAUCGAAGGCAGAGGGAAGAGGAAUUCGGGAUACUGGUGAGUGGUUGGUUAAUUGGAUUUUCCUUUAUUUAUUUAGUUUGAUUGGAAACAUGAGAAUUGUCUCCUGGAAUAUCAGAGGGUUGGGGUUGGUAGCUAAAAUAGAACCUGUCAAUUGACUAGUGAGAAAGAUUAGGGCAAAUGUAUGCUUCCUUCAAGAAACUAACUAAGUUAGAAAUGGUGUUAGUGGAUUUAGUUAGAAAAAUUUAAGGCAAUAACUCUGUUUUGAAUUGACAUCUGUAGCUG
rnacentral:lncRNA from 1 species